UUAAAUUAACCAUUCCGACAACAUAAAUAGUCAUAGAUAUGUUCAUCACAAAAACAACAAAAAUUAAAAAGAUAGGAAACAAGAAUCAAAUCCGAUGUUUUUCCGUGGCUUGACUAGGUUGCUUCGUUUUUCCUUCUUUGUUGUCCUUGCUGAUCAAGGCUGUUAUGAACACUCAAUUGCAGCUACAAAAUGGCUGAAGAAGAACCCUUUCUCAAGGGGAGAAAUUGGCAAAAGAGCAAGGAACUUUGAAUGGGAAAAAU
rnacentral:lncRNA from 1 species